rnacentral:lncRNA from 10 species
GAUAGCUCUUACUCCAUUUUCCAAUAACUUCUCAUUUCUGUCUGAGACCUCACUGAAUGAGACCAACCUCAUUCUGUCUGAGACCAACAUUGUUCUACCAACAUUCUGAUCACAACCACUUAAGUAAUCCUUAAGAAGAUAAAGGCUCUGCCUGAAGCUCUUGUCUUCUUUUCAGCCCUCACUGGAAUUACCCUCAAUGCUCCACUCACACCAAUAUAGGCUUUUUCUAGCCUGCUCCUCCAGAUUCUUCCAGCCUCUCCUCGUUACCCAGUUCC